CCAAAGAUGGCGGGCCUCCGUGCCCCCGUCCCCAACCCAUUGUUGACCAAAACCCUUUUGCCUCGGGGGCAGAGCGUCCGCCGCCGCCCCCGGAGGACCACCUAACGCUGUCUCUUUGCGUCGGAGUAAUCGAUGGAAAUGAAUGA
rnacentral:misc_RNA from 1 species